rnacentral:rRNA from 1 species
GAUCAUGGCUCAGGAUGAACGCUGGCGGCUGCCUAANACAUGCAAGUCGAACGGAGUUCUUGAGGAAUGCGACUUCGGUCAAAUGACUUUUGAACUUAGUGGCGGACGGGUGAGUAACGCGUGAGCAACCUGCCUUUCAGAGGGGGAUAACAUUUGGAAACAGAUGCUAAUACCGCAUAAGAUUACAGUACCGCAUGAUACAGUGAUCAAAGGAGCAAUCCGCUGAAAGAUGGGCUCGCGUCCGAUUAGAUAGUUGGUGAGGUAACGGCUCACCAAGUCGACGAUCGGUAGCCGGACUGAGAGGUUGAACGGCCACAUUGGGACUGAGAUACGGCCCAGACUCCUACGGGAGGCAGCAGUGGGGAAUAUUGGGCAAUGGGCGCAAGCCUGACCCAGCAACGCCGCGUGAAGGAAGAAGGCUUUCGGGUUGUAAACUUCUUUUGUCAGGGACGAGUAGAAGACGGUACCUGACGAAUAAGCCACGGCUAACUACGUG